UAGGGAAUCUUCCGCAAUGGGCGAAAGCCUGACGGAGCAACGCCGCGUGAGUGAUGAAGGUCUUCGGAUCGUAAAACUCUGUUAUUAGGGAAGAACAAAUGUGUAAGUAACUAUGCACGUCUUGACGGUACCUAAUCAGAAAGCCACGGCUAACUACGUGCCAGCAGCCGCGGUAAUACGUAGGUGGCAAGCGUUAUCCGGAAUUAUUGGGCGUAAAGCGCGCGUAGGCGGUUUUUUAAGUCUGAUGUGAAAGCCCACGGCUCAACCGUGGAGGGUCAUUGGAAGCUGGAAAACUUGAGUGCAGAAGAGGAAAGUGGAAUUCCAUGUGUAGCGGUGAAAUGCGCAGAGAUAUGGAGGGACACCAGUGGCGAAGGCGACUUUCUGGUCUGUAACUGACGCUGAUGUGCGAAAGCGUGGGGAUCAAACAAG
rnacentral:rRNA from 1 species